CCCCAAGGAGAAAAAAAAAAAAAAAAGAGGCCCGGCUUUUUUAGAGCAAGACAAAUCCAGAGAGAUGAAGUGACUGACCCAAGGUUACACAGAAUGGAAUCUAUAUCUUCUGAUUUCUCUACUGGCCUGCACUCCAAGUUCUGAGGAGCAGUCCUUGAAGCUGCUGAGAUAAUGGAACAAUGGCGUAGAUAGUCCAUUAUAACUCAUCUGUGAUUCUUCUCAAGUUCAAGUGACCACAGAAAAAAGGUUGUCCUGCCCCAUUCUGUCCCUUAUGCUGUACCCAUGGUAACCGCAUCAGCCUGAGAAGAUUGUAAUGUUACUUCUCUGCUUGAGAUGUUAGGGGACUAGAGAUGGCUCAGCAGUUAA
rnacentral:lncRNA from 1 species